UACGUAGGGGCAAGCGUUGUCCGGAAUUAUUGGGCGUAAAGAGCUCGUAGGCGGCUCAGCAAGUCGGCUGUGAAAUCCGGAGGCUCAACCUCGGAACUGCAGUCGAUACUGCUGUGGCUAGAGUCUGGUAGAGGAGAAUGGAAUUCCCGGUGUAGCGGUGAAAUGCGCAGAUAUCGGGAGGAACACCAGUAGCGAAGGCGGUUCUCUGGGCCAGUACUGACGCUGAGGAGCGAAAGCGUGGGUAGCAAACAGGAUUAGA
rnacentral:rRNA from 1 species